UCCUGGCGAGAAGACUUUCCAAGGCCAGGGAAGAGUGGGAGGAGCCUGUGACCGCCUGGGUCAGUGGCGCUCCCGCCGCCGGAGGUCACGUGGCAGUUACGCGCGCUGGACGACCUCCUCCAACCUCGCGAGAAGAGCUUAGCCGCUUAGCCGAGGCCCUUAACCCAGCUGGAGAGCUCACGUGGGCACGUGUUGGAUGUUGUCCUCAUUCUCGAAGGACCGGAAGAGGCUGGCUGGUUCUCCCGAGGUCCGGGGUGUUCAGGAAAUGCCCAUGCUGGCGGCAUCCCGAAGUCGCCUGGAAUUCCAGGCUUGAAGACAUGAAUGUAUUCCUGUUUAUUCCUGACCUUGAAAUAAUCCCAAAUGUGAAAAGCUGUUUGACUCCCAUCACAGAACUACAUAUGUGUGUGUAUUCAUAGACUUGCAGUGUUCACUAGAGGAGAAAUAGUCCACGUCCUACAAACUCCUGGCUUCCUAGUGGAGAAGUAAGAUUCUAGAAUCUGGAUCAAGUGGAAUGAAAUUCAGUUUCUACACAAACCAAAAGUGUGGACUGGAUUUAGGAUUCGCUCCCAAACAAUAAGAGCACAGAAAGGGGAAAAUGGCAACUUUACAGUGAAGAAAUCUGUCAGACCGCACCUUACCCAAGUCACGCAGGAGCCCUGUCACAGUCCAUGAGGAGUGGCACUCCCUAGCACUGAAUGGAAGGAGGAACGGAAGAGGAUUUGGAGACCGUGUUGCCAGUUCUGUUACCAAGGAAGAAGUUACCCCGGGGGAAGCAACGAAAGGUCCAAAUAUCUGGCUUCUAACAGCAGGGCCCGACUUCGAGAGAACAUCGCUUCCAACAUAUAUUCUGUGAACAUCAGCCAGGUUUGCUUUUUUCCCAGCGGGGAAGACAGUUGAGCGCUUUCGCCAGGUGAGGAAACAAAACCAGAGAAGUUUAAUACCUCUGCCAUCACGUCACGAGAAAGUGGGAGAGCCGUGAUGUGGCCUAGGGUGGCCUUCAGAGAGCUCCCAGUUCAUUGCUUUGUGGACUGCCCCGCUACAGGCUUGCGGGGAGGACUGGAUGAGAUAAUAGGAUGUCUGGCUGCCUCUGUCCUCUGUCCUGCCAGCAGUGACACUGGCUGCACAAACAGCCCGGUUAAAAAAUGGGCAAAAGAAUUUGAACGGGCCCAUCACAAAGGAAGACAUGCAUGUGGCCAAGAAGCACAUAGCAGUUCUCAACAUCGUCAGUCAUGGGGGAAACGGGCGUUAACACCGCAAGGAGAAACCACCGCACGCUCACUGGAGUGGCUAAAAGUCGAAAGAGUAGCAGGAGUUGGUGAGACUAUUAAUGGUACAGCUCCUUUGAAAACCGUUGGCAGUUUUACAAAAAACUGAACAAAUGCUUACGGUUCAGCAACUCCACUCAAGAAUUCCACCCAAACAGGGGCAACUGGGUGUCUCCGUCGGUUAAGCGACGACUCUUGAUUCCAGCUCAGGUGGUGAUCUCAUGGUCAUGAGACUGAGCCCGAUGUCAGGCUCUGCGCUGACAGUGUGGAACCUGCUUGGGAUUCUCUCUCCCUUUCUCCCCGCUCCUCUGCUGCUCACGUGCUCUCUCUGUCUCUUUCUCAAUCUCUCUCUAAAUAAAGAAACUUUUCUUUUAAAGACUUCCUCCUGAAGGUAAAUGAAACAUGACCACCAGAAGAUUUAUACAAGAAUGUUCAUAGCAGCUUUAUUCAGAAGAGGCAAAAUGCAGAAGCCAUCCAGGUGCCCAUCAGUAAGAGAAAAGGUAAACAAAGGCUAGCAUAAUUAUAUAAAGUAAUAAACACAGAUGAACAUGAAAAUAUUGGGCUGAGCAAGAAGGGCCUUAUCAAAAGACAAUAUAGUAAGUACUAUGUGAAUGUCUAGGACACACAAAAUUAAUCCGUAUAGUUGAAAAAUGAAAAAGAAUGAUUGACUUGUUGUGGUAAGAAUGAGAUUGAAAAGGGGUAACAGAACUUUCUGGUGUCAAGGAAAAGUUCUGUAUCUUGGUGAGUCUUGAGUUCCACGACUUUAUGCAUCUGUCAAAACCCACAGAAUGAUACACUUAAUAUACAUAUAUCUAUGUAAAUUUUACCUCAGAGGCAAAAAAAUGAGCCAUAAACAAAUGAUGAGUUCUAAUUAAUGAUACAUAUAAUGAAGUGUUUAGCGGGAAAUGUACUAAUGUCUAAAACUUACAGUGAAAUGCAUUCAAAAAUGGUUUAAUAUGUGCCCAGACACAUUACUUCAGUAGGGUCAGAAAAUGUGACUUACAAGCUCUAGGAGUUGCUUUAUGGUGCUCACUGUCCUCUUUUCGGUAGCUUUGGAAUUUUCCAUAAAGUAAUGUUCAGAAAAUCAGGAAUGACAACCAAAAAAGAAUACCUGCUUUUAUUGAGAAAUUACUUUGUGCCACGCUCUCUGUUAUCCUUAUAGCUUAUUUUUAAAUUCUCUCAAAAUCCUGAGGGUGGAUAUUAUUAUCUCCAUUUAUCCUCAGGAGAGAAAACUGACACCCGGAGAGGCUCAGUGAACUUUUCCAAGAGCAAAUGGCAUAAGAUAAAAUGAUGCAACUUUGGAAACAUUCUGACCGUUUUCCGUAAAACUAAACAAGUACUCAUACCCCAGAAAUUCCUCUCAAGAAAUCCUUUCCAAGAGAGAUGGAAACAUAACGUCCAUGAAAAAGACGCAUACAAGAAUGCUGAUAGCAGCUUUGUUUAUAGUGUAGAAUCCAAAUACAGGUCUUUCCCAGUUUAAGCUCUUAACGUUCAUGAUAUCCUGGUUUAAAAAAAAAAGGAAGCCUAUCCUCCAUCCUCAAGCAGCCGUUGCUUAGGUGGGCAACCGGGUGUGUAUUUACAAAAGAAUGUGUGUCUGUCUGCUUUUCUUGGUUCUAACAUCUCUCUUGAUCAUGACUCUCAGACGGGGCUAGCACACGAGGCUAAGGGUGAGGAGUCAGAGCCAAGAAGAUGAGAUGCCGUCUGGGAGCCAGGAGAGUGUGAGCCGGGCAGGCUGGCAGCACAGCUCUCCGAUGUCUGAGGAAGCCGGGGAAAGGCUGGCCGCAGGGCCCUGUGGCGCCCGGGUCAGAAGGGCUGAGCAGCCACACGCAGUGGCCAGCGCAGACUCACGGUGCCCUGAGGCCAGCAGGAAACCACACCAAGAGGACGGUAGGGCUCAGACCAAUCUAAAGUCUACGGCAAGAGUUUGGGCCGCAAAAAGAACUGGGUGUACAACCAUAGGACCUAGUGGUUGCUGUUGUUUAAUAGAUUUUAUUUUUUCUUCUAAAGCAGUUUGAGGCCCACCACAAAAUGAAGCAGAGAGUACAGAGACUUCCCACAUAUCUCUUACCGCAACACAGGCACAGCCUCUCCCACUGUCAACAUCCCCCAUGGGUUUUGACAAACGUAUAAUGGCAUGUGUCCACCACUGUAGUAUCAUACAGAGUAGCUCCACUGCCCCCCAAAUGCCUGUGUUCUACGUGUUCCUCCCUCCCUCACCCCAGACUCCUGGCAACCGCCGAUCUUUUUACUGUCUCCAUAGUUUUGCCUUUUGCAGGAUAUCAUCUGGCUGAAACUGUACAGUAAGUAACCCUUUCAGAUUGGCUUCUUUUAAUUUUUUUUUAACGUUUAUUUAUUUUUGAGACAGAGAGAGACAGAGCAUAAAUGAGGGAGGGGCAGAGAGAGAGGGAGACACAGAA